rnacentral:rRNA from 1 species
CCUACGGGAGGCAGCAGUGAGGAAUAUUGGUCAAUGGGCGUAAGCCUGAACCAGCCAAGUCGCGUGAGGGAUGAAGGUCCUAUGGAUCGUAAACCUCUUUUAUAAGGGAACAAAGUGAGGGACGUGUUCUAGUUUGUAUGUACCUUACGAAAAAGGAUCGGCUAACUCCGUGCCAGCAGCCGCGGUAAUACGGAGGAUCCGAGCGUUAUCCGGAUUUAUUGGGUUUAAAGGGUGCGUAGGCGGCCUUUUAAGUCAGCGGUGAAAGUCUGUGGCUCAACCUUAGAAUUGCCGUUGAAACUGGGGAGCUUGAGUGUGUGAGAGGCAGGCGGAAUGCGUGGUGUAGCGGUGAAAUGCUUAGAUAUCACGCAGAACCCCGAUUGCGAAGGCAGCUUGCUGCAGCAGAACUGACGCUGAUGCUCGAAAGCGCGGGUAUCGAACAGGAUUAGAUACCCGGGUAGUC